rnacentral:tRNA from 7 species
UGGGAUGUCGCCAAGUGGUAAGGCAAUGGAUUCUGACUCCAUUAUUCGCAGGUUCGAAUCCUGUCAUCCUAGCCA